AUUGAACGCUGGCGGCAGGCCUAACACAUGCAAGUCGAACGAGUGGCGGACGGGUGAGUAAUGACUGGGAAACUGCCCGAUGGAGGGGGAUAACUACUGGAAACGGUAGCUAAUACCGCAUACCAUCAGAAGAGCACAGAUGGGAUUAGCUAGUAGGUGGGGUAACGGCGCACCUAGGCGACGAUCCCUAGCUGGUCUGAGAGGAUGACCAGCCACACUGGAACUGAGACACGGUCCAGACACCUACGGGAGGCAGCAGUGGGAAAUAUUGCACAAUGGGCGCAAGCCUGAUGCAGCCAUGCCGCGUGUAUGAAGAAGGCCUGCGGGUUGUAAAGUACUUUCAGCGAGGAGGCGUUACUCGCAGAAGAAGCACCGGCUAACUCCGUGCCAGCAGCCGCGGUAAUAC
rnacentral:rRNA from 1 species